rnacentral:sRNA from 1 species
GUUUGCACUUGUCGGGGAAGGGUGAGAACCUUCGAUUAAGGUUCGACUCGAGCGAAAGCCAGAGAACGUUGCCAACGGCAACGGCCCGUAGGUUGAGGAGCGAAGCGACGAAUAAUCCUUCCCCCACCACCA